UGAACGAUGUUGUUGUUCUAUGAUUGCCUCU
rnacentral:piRNA from 1 species